GAGUUUGAUCCUGGCUCAGAACGAACGCUGGCGGCGUGCUUAACACAUGCAAGUCGAACGUGAUUGAGAGCUUGCUCUCAUGAAAGUGGCGCACGGGUGAGUAACACGUGGAUAAUCUGCCUGGCGAUUCGGGAUAACACUUCGAAAGGGGUGCUAAUACCGGAUAAGCCCACGGACUCUUAGGGGUUUGCGGGAAAAGGGGGCCUCUGUAUAUGCUCCUGUCGCUAGAUGAGUCCGCGGCCCAUUAGCUAGUUGGUAGGGUAAUGGCCUACCAAGGCUACGAUGGGUAGCUGGUCUGAGAGGAUGAUCAGCCACACUGGAACUGAGACACGGUCCAGACUCCUACGGGAGGCAGCAGUGGGGAAUUUUGCGCAAUGGGGGAAACCCUGACGCAGCAACGCCGCGUGAGUGAUGAAGGCUUUCGGGUCGUAAAGCUCUGUCAGAGGGGAAGAAAUGAGUCUGGCUAAUAUCCAGAUUUCUUGACGGUACCCUCAAAGGAAGCACCGGCUAACUCCGUGCCAGCAGCCGCGGUAAUAC
rnacentral:rRNA from 1 species